AGGCUUCCACAGAGUCCGCCCGCCCGCCUCCACUUCGCUCCAAAUUGUGGGCGGGGCGAGGAAAUCCCCGAGCCUCCGAUUGGACUUCCCGAGACUUCAAAGACUGCGAGGGGCGGGGUUUCGCCCGAGCCUGUUGAGCUGGGCAGAGACCGUGCGGCGUGCGAAGUAGAAAGCGGGGCGAAAUUGCCCCGAUCGGUCGCUCGGAGCUGUAGCCGCGCCUCCGAUCCAAAGCACGGGGAAGCAGAGUCAUCCAAAGCGAUUCCUCCCCCCCUACCCAGCAAACGUGGAGUAGCAUCAUCAUCACCACCACCACCACAGCCAACAGCCAAGGUUCAUCGCCUAAGUACCUCUUGCUCCCGAUGCCAACUCCUGCCCAGCUCGCUGCGCUUCUGCAGGGGUGCCAGUCUGGCGCAGGGAUCUGGAGGUUUGACAGCCCCGGCGGGAUCCCUCUUCCUCCCGCUGAGAUGCAGGCGGAUCGCAGCCUGGCUUGGGUGGAUCACUUGCAGCCUGAUGACCUCGCCGCGCGGUUCGAUCCAACUUCUGCCCGGGAUGUCAAAUAUAUGUUCAAAAGAAGAACUGGCAAUGGUGGGACGUCAUCAACCAUGUAUUCAAGCUUUCACUCAUAUGGUGAAGCUAUGGAAGCAAGACUGUGCAACACAAAGAUGGUGCAUCGUUUAUGAGAGAAGCUUUGUGUUCUGUGGGUAUUUGCUUCAAUGGAGGGAAAUGCUCUGCAGGAGCAUCUCUGACAUGCCAGUGUCCAGUGGGAUUCUAGGGUCCACGGUGCCAAUAUGGUAAGUCAAAGGUUUCAUAUUAUUCUCUGUCAACAUGGUAAUGCAAACAUAAUUGCAUUAAGUUUCCUUAGUACACCCAUUUAAACCAUCAUUUUGCGAUCAUAAAAACCUAAUCGUACAGUGAUUUCCUCAUUAAGCGAGGCAAUCGUUAAGCGAGGCGCGACUGUAUAAAAUAUAUAGCACAGAUUGGUAGCUGUGGUCCUCUAGAUGUUUUCUUUUUUCCACAUUGAACUCCCAUUGACCCUAGGUGGCCAUAGUUAACUGUGAGAAAUUAUGGGGAUUCCUGAAAUGCAGAAAGAAUUACAGCUCCCCAUGUCAGUAUAUAGUAUUUAAAUCUAGGAGGAAGAGCAUACCUAUGUAGACCUAGUGCUGUUGUGCAUGUUUUGUUGAAUCACUGAACUUCGUGCAGAGUUUGUGUGAAAUGAAUUAUAUUGGUGCAAUCUGAUAUUUGGUAAGAAUGCUGUAUCCAAGCAUGUGAAUCACAGUGACUGUGUGCCCAGUCUCCUCAGUCAAAUCUAGCACACCAUCCCUAAUGGGUUGUGAUCUACAACUGAUUAUAUGAAGUCUGCCAAGAGUCACUUUGUGUGGCUGUCAUCCACACUCGGUUCAUUUUUGCAAGCUUGUGAAGUAAUAAUGGGUCAAGAAUAAAUAGUCCGAUCUGACAUAUUGAACA
rnacentral:lncRNA from 1 species